GCACACCACUGCCCCCUCCCUCCGCCGGAAACUCGCCGACUGCUCAGGCGCAGCAGACACGCUCUAAAACAGAGGAGCCGAUAGGGCAUCCUGGAGUGGGUAUUUCCAUUCGGACUUGCACGUGGUGACGUCUUUACGCUAACGUCAUCCUGCGCCUGCUACUGCUGCUUCGUGUGGGAGGGGAAAGAAAGCGAGCCACACCACCAGACGGGCUAAUGGCUUGACUCUGUUUAAAAAGAAGAAGAAGAAGCUUCACAAGAGCAUAAGCGCUGAAAUCUGCUUUUUAAUUUCUCUAAGAAAGACUCAAGGCACCCCGUGCCAGAUGCAGCGAAGCAGCCCCAAAACAUAACCGAGCCUCCUCCAUGUUUCACAGUAGUGGAGUCCUCCUGGGUCUUCUUCCAUUGAGCCCACUGUCACUCAAAAAGCGACCGAUGGUGCAAUCAGACACUGAUGGACCUUGACCUUGGAGUUCAGCUUUUAUCUCUUUGGAAGUUGUCCUUGGCUUUUUGUCUACCAUUCUCACUAUCCUUCUGCCCAUUCUGGGGUUGAUUUUCCUCUUGCGGCCACAUCCAGGGAGGUUGGCUACAGUCCCAUGGACCUUGAACUUCUUAAUAAUAUUUGCAACUGUUGUCACAGGAACAUCAAACUGCUUGGAGAUGGUCUUAUAGCCUUUGCCUUUAACAUGCUUGUCUAUAAUUUUCUUUCUGAUCUCCUCGGACAACUCUCUCCUUUGCUUUCUCUGGUCCAUGUUCAUUGUGGGACACACAAUGAUACCAAGCAGCAGAGUGACUACUUUUCUCCAUUUCAGUAGGCUGAAUGACUGAUUGCACGAUUGGAGACAUGUGUGAUACUAAUUAAAGAAAACAGCUAAUUUGAAAAAUUACUCUAAUCCAAUUAUUUAUGAUUUUUUCUAGGGGUACCAACAAAUGUGUCCAGGCCACUUUAGAAUAAGUAAUACUUUAUCUCUUUUCACACUUGCUUUGCCUUACUCGAUGACAUAUCAAAG